rnacentral:lncRNA from 1 species
ACCCAAAACUAAGAAGCUCUUGGCUCUUGUACUCACCUGAGCUAUUCUUGUGAAUGGAUCCUCAGAGGGCUCGCCUUGCUAAGGUAGCGAGAGAGGCCUUUGAUCUACUAGAUGAGUGCCAGGGCCGGAAGAAGAGGGCACCACCAGCUUAUGUUUAUUACUACCCCAAGCCAGUCCAAGACCCUCCUCCAAAGAAGGAGCCUGUCCUUGAUGCCAACCAAGUCGCCCGACAGUUUGGUGGGGUUAUGACUGUGGAAUACCAUCGCCGGUCCUUCUUCUAGGAUUUGCUUGUAUGCUCUAUAGCUUGGCUUUUUCUUUGGCUUCCAUGCAUGUCCUAUCAUAUUGGAGAAGUAUAGAUAAUAUUAUUGUGGAGCACCUUCCAUGUAGUAUGAUGUAUUAGAAGCAGUGUGAUGUAGUAUAAUUCAUGGAGCACCUUCCAUGCAUGUAGUAUGAUGUAUUAGAAGCAGUACUUUGACGUAGUAUAAUUCAUGGAGCACCUUCCAUGUGGUAUGAUGUAUAGAUAAUAUUAUCGUGGAGCACCUUCCAGUCUAUGGUUUGUUUUGAUAUUGGGUGUCAAGUCUAUCAUAUAUAUAUAUAUAUGUAUGUAUGUAUGUAUAUAUGGUUAUCUCGGC